rnacentral:rRNA from 1 species
GUGGGGAAUAUUGCACAAUGGGGGAAACCCUGAUGCAGCAACGCCGCGUGAAGGAAGACGGUUUUCGGAUUGUAAACUUCUAUCGAUAGGGACGAAAAAAAUGACGGUACCUAAAUAAGAAGCCCCGGCUAACUACGUGCCAGCAGCCGCGGUAAUACGUAGGGGGCAAGCGUUAUCCGGAUUUACUGGGUGUAAAGGGAGCGUAGACGGUGAAGCAAGUCUGAUGUGAAAACCCGGGGCUCAACUCCGGGAUUGCAUUGGAAACUGUUUUACUUGAGUGCUGGAGGGGCAAGCGGAAUUCCUGGUGUAGCGGUGAAAUGCGUAGAUAUCAGGAAGAACACCGGUGGCGAAGGCGGCUUGCUGGACAGUAACUGACGUUGAGGCUCGAAAGCGUGGGGAGCAAACAGGAUUAGAUACCCUGGUAGUCC